AAUAACCAAAUAUAACACUGGACUAAGGGUCAAAUUGGUAAUUUUCUUACAUUUCCCCCCCAGGGGCCCCAGGUAUCAUAUACACCGCCAAAAUAAAGAGCCUUGAGUACUAGAAGAAAAGCACCUAGACCUAACAAAACUUAA
rnacentral:lncRNA from 16 species